rnacentral:rRNA from 1 species
CAGUAGCCGCGGGAAAACGGAGGGUGCAAGCGUUAAUCGGAAUUACUGGGCGUAAAGCGUGCGUAGGCGGUUCGUUAAGUCUGUUGUGAAAGCCCCGGGCUCAACCUGGGAAUGGCAAUGGAUACUGGCGAGCUAGAGUGUGUCAGAGGAUGGUGGAAUUCCCGGUGUAGCGGUGAAAUGCGUAGAGAUCGGGAGGAACAUCAGUGGCGAAGGCGGCCAUCUGGGACAACACUGACGCUGAGGCACGAAAGUGUGGGGAGCAAACAGGAUUAGAUACCCCAGUAGUCCCUGUCUCUUAUAC